GGAAGUAGUUCGGCAAAGAUGGCUGCGUCCUUGAUAGGCAUGUUUUGAUUUCAGUGAAGUGUCAGACAUGCACAGCAGUUGCAGUUUUACGGGUUACAAGACUGUCAAGGAUUUAUUUUGAGAGCGGAACAUGGAGAGACGAGAGUUCGUCGCGUCUCUGGUGGCAGGAGGCUGUGCAGGGAUGUGUGUCGAUCUGACCCUGUUCCCCCUGGACACCAUUAAGACCAGACUGCAGAGUCAGCAGGGCUUCUACAAGGCUGGGGGCUUUAGGGGCAUCUAUGCUGGGGUCCCAUCUGCUGCUGUUGGCUCCUUCCCCAAUGCCGCUGCUUUCUUUGUCACCUACGAUUGCACAAAGUCCCUUCUCAGCGCCGGCGGAGCGUUUGCAGCACCACAUGUGGCACCUAUCACUCACAUGCUGGCCGCCUCCCUGGGAGAAAUAGUGGCGUGUCUGAUCCGGGUGCCCACAGAGGUGGUCAAACAGAGGACCCAAGCCUCGCCCUCAUCCACCACCUACAACAUGUUGCUGGCAACGCUCAGAGAAGAGGGUGUUCGAGGCUUGUACAGAGGAUAUGGCAGCACAGUUCUCAGAGAGAUCCCCUUCUCACUGGUGCAGUUUCCACUUUGGGAAUACUUAAAGGCGCGGUCGCGGCGUUUGUUACAACUCCUCUUGACGUGGCGAAGACCAGGAUCAUGCUCGCAAAGGCCGGGUCGACCACAGCGAGCGGCAACAUCCCGCUGGUUCUCUACGAUGUGUGGAGGAGUCGAGGCCUUCCAGGUCUGUUUGCAGGCAGCAUACCGAGGAUGGCCUUCAUCAGCAUUGGCGGUUUCAUCUUCCUGGGAGCCUACGAGAAGGUCCGACGCACUUUGUUGUCGCAGAAAAUCCACUCUGACUGUCCUUAGCCUCGACGCGUUGGAGGAACAGCGGGGAAAGUGUGUCUGGAAGCAGCACCUUCUGGAUGAGCCUUUGCACCUCCAUGCUGCUGGGCCCCGAUUAGCAAUUAGCACUUGAUGCUAAGAGGAGGAGUCAUUAAUGACUGCAUUACCCAGAGUGCUGCAUUCCUGCCCGUUAGUGCUCUGUGGUCUGAGUUGAACAGACUUCUGUGGCAGCAUCAGCGAUUUGUUCAAAUGAAAGCUUUGUUAAACAAGAUCUGCACUGACUAGCAUCUGUAUUUUUUAAUGUAUGUGUGAGUGAACGAGUAUUAAAGACUGUCUGUUUGUAUUCUGUGAGUGAGGUUUGGUGAUUUCUUUGGCUCCCAGUGGAACUCAACGGGUUCCAGUCUUACAAGUUUAAUGAUCAUUUUAAUGAUUCAUCCAUAUUUUCUUCUCUCCAUUAAGUUAAGCCACCUGUGGAAAAGACCCACCGGGGAGACAGUAAUAUCUCACUAUUGUUAGAUUCCUGCAGGACCACAGCUCAGAUCAUCCACCUGCUGAAGAGUUUUUUUUCCCUUAAGACGUCUCCAACAACAGAACACCUUGUUAAAUUAAUAAUGCUUUAGCUUUAUCUAGAGUCUUGGGGGUUUUACUUGGAGCUUUUUAAAUGACGGUUCUAGAUUUAGCUGUCAUGGCUUUAUUGUGAAAAAUGUAAUUGGCUGGAAAAGCUUCUCCAGCGUUGAUGGUGAUAAUCAAAUCAUUUCCAGUGUUUCUCUCCUGUUCCUCGCACAGUUUGCUGUGAACAUUGUGAGCUUGCAUGCCAAGAAACUUCAUGUCUUUUAAACAAAGUUAGAAAAGAAGAAAAAACUCAAAGAAUAAAAGAAAGAAAUUAGAGUAAAUUAUAAGUAUAUAGUAAUUAAGUCACAUGGUCCCUGCGGGCAAGGCACCCGCGGGCUCUUUUUCCAGUAUUAAAUCUUGUUGAGAGCUUCCAGUCUAUGAGAGCUAACUAGUUAGCCACUAGUAAAACGCUAAGGCGAGCUAGCAGCUUGACAACCAAAUACCAGACGAUUAAUAGUAGCUGUAGUAUAGUUGUACAAGCAGUAGUAGUAAUACUAAAAGUACAAGCAGUAGUAGUAGUAUAAACAGCUGUUAGUCGUAGAAGUAGUAUCAGCAUUUGUAAUAGUAUUACAAGUUGUAGUAGCAGUGCCAGUAUCAGCAGCAGUAGUUAGUGUACUACCACUACUACUAGUAGUAGUCACAUUGCUAUUACUACCACCAAUACUACCAAUAGUAGUUAUAAAGCCUAACUCAUGUAUAUCCAGAUUACCAUCUAUGUUCUUCCUCCAAACCCAUUUUAUGAUUGGGAUUACAGGCAGUUCUUUAGGACUGCUCUCAAAUAAUUGAAAUGUUACUAAACAAGGUUAUACUUAUCAAAUUAAAUAGCUCUGGUCUCCAGUAUAUUGGCGAAUUCGGUUCUUUGUACUUAAUUUAUUAGCAUGAUUUCUUUUCAAUAUGUUGUGUACAGACUUAAUUACUUCUCUGUCUACUUUUCUUACUCCAUGUAGUUGAGGAGGAAUUGGAAGUUUGUCGGCUUAGACCUGGUGUCAUUCCAUCAGUGUUAAACUUCCCAGCUCAUCUUGGAAGAGUACGUGCCACAAAGACCACAACCAAGCAGCCUUGAGAUCUUAGACAGCGUCUCCCUGAGGUCCCUCUCUAUCUCCCCACACAUCCACCAACCACUGGAACACAUCUCCAAAGUUCUGCCGGGCCAGCUCAGCUUCCCCUCAGAAGAAGUGCUGCCACCUGCCAGAUGAAGGAGCCUUUUGAGAGGCAGCUGGCAUCGUGAUUGGACUGUACUUUGGUCUGUUCCAAUCCAGCUUCAGCUCCAGAGACGGCAGGCAGGACGAGUCAACGGAGGCCUGGUGGACGAAGGCAUGCAGCUGAGUACAAUCCAGAAAACAACAGAGGAGGAGUGCAGCAGCCCAGUAUAGCCUUCGACCAAAGAACUACAGACUCUUUACAACCUGCUCAAACUCUUGGUACAGGACCUCACCACACGGGUCAAGAAGGUUUCCGUCUCAUUUCUACUCUGAAGCUCACCUUCUCCUGCUCAAACUGCUGACAAAUGUUUCUGCUGCUCUAAAGUCUGGUCUCCAGAACUUCCUAAAAACUCUCAAAGUCUCUUCUGCUGCAGGUUGCUUUGUAGAACUGUUCCAGAAAACCUCACUAAACCACAUGGAGGGGCCUCAAGAUAGUCGUCCAAAUGAAACCGUACAAAAACCAAACUAACACAACCCAAACACUAAAGUCUCCUGCAGCCUACCAGAGAAGCUCUGAGAACAGAGAAUCAGGACAGGAACUCUUACCUUCUGGACAACCAACGCUGGUUCACAAACAAGAAUACAGAAUGUGUCUGACCAAAAACCUCUAAAGACUCACUACAGCCAAGAUAAAGACACAACUCAGCUGCACCAAAUCCACUAAUUACUGCACACAUUAGCACCAUGUGCUAACUGUGGCUAAAGAACCACAUUUACCAAGACAACUAUCCAGUACAAAGCCCUAAAACACACCAAGAAACACAUUAAAGAUGAUUUUACUGCUGGAAGCUGCAAGCCAACGCCUAAAGAACAAACUAGAGCAAUGGAGCCAAACCCAGUUCAGUGGUGAAGAGAAUCAGAGGAAAUGUUUGUCUGCAGCCACAUAAAGCAGGAAGACACUGAGCUGCUCAGGUGUUCCUAAUAACACCAAGCAGCCACCUGGACAGCCAAUAGGAACACAGCCACCUGGACAGCCAAUAGGAACACAGCUUACUGGAAGUCCAGAGGGCUGGGCUAGUGAAGGAAAUUUAGUUUAAAGUUGAAGCAGAAAGUUAACAAAGAAAGUUGAAAACCACCUUCUGAUACCUGAAAUCUCUGAGUUUUCACACAAAGAACACCUGAACAUGUCAAACUGGUUCCAUAGUAGAACCAUCAUUGUAAAAACGUCAUAGUAUGGUGUGUUGCUCAAAAAACAUUAUGACCCAGCUGUCAGGGGACAAACAUGUAAGAAACAUGAGAACAGAGAGAACCCAACCAGUAGGUCACAGUUUAUCAUCCCCCAGUCAUCUCCUGAAGUCCAUAUGGUGAGAGACAUCAGUAUCUGGUUGUUAAUUUACCAGAGGAUGCUUAUAAUCAUGCUGAUGUGGUCUGUACUCUACAAUAUUUUAGUGACUCAAUAAAUGCCUAAGUUGUUAUUUUUUUUAAAUGCUUUUUAGUUUUUAAUAAACAUUUAACAGCCUAUAUGUGAUCAAUAAAUGGCCUUUGCCUAUCUUAAGAAAAAUUCACUCAGAACUCUGAUAUGUUAACAGUACUAAAUAAAUCAAUAAAUACAUGCAUACACACAUAAAUAAGUUAAUACAUUAACUGUGUUAAGAUAAGAUUUAGAUUUUUAAAAAAGUUGUUUAUGUUUUUGCAGAAUCCAGUAUUACUCACUGGUUGGUCAUUACAUUUUGUUAGUUUGAUUUCACUGUUUAAAAUGAUGCCACCUCUUUUCAGACAGAACCUGUGAUAAUAAAACAAUACAAAAUUUUUAGUUCCGUGUUAAUAAAGCACUUAAAGCUUUAAGUAUGGCUAAAUGCUUUUUUCAGAAUUAAAUAUAUCACUCCUUAGGUGGUAGUGACCCCAAGUUCAGUAAAGUUGGAAAGAUAUUCACAGAUUCGGACUUCCAGCAUCAAUAACUCGUUAGAUAUAGGUUGUCAAAACAUAAACGGUGCCUCUUUCCCAUUGUUGCAAGGCAGACAAUGUGCCACAAGCCCAGUUUUAUCAAAAGUAGCUGUCUUUCAAGCUACAGGAAUAACAUUGGUGUCUAUGGAGUGAACAGGGUCCGUCUGCAAUUUGCAAAACCGCUGCAACAGUAAAGAGAGACAAAUAUUCAAUAACUUCACUCUUAUACAUUGUAGUGUCACUAAAAUCACUGCAGCCUUCAACUGGCUCCUGUUGACAAAGUGUUUUAACAGAAAUGUAAAUGCUGUAAUUUGAUUCUUUUAAUGAACCAUGUAACUUGAAUGGAUGUGAUGCUGGUGUGACCACAGUGCACACGUCUGAUGUUGCUCACAGUGGUCCAAGGGACGCUCAGGGAGUUUGUGUGUUUGCUCAGACUCAUGGAAAAUUAGAGGGAACAUUGUUGCCAAUGUAACUUCUUAAUGCACUCUUUCAAAAUACUGCAGCUCCUCUUUCUGAGACUCACCAACAGACCAGUGAUGAUGCAUAAUUGGCUGUGCAUUUCCAAGAACAUGAUACUGAUCGUCAUUCUCUAGGUAAUGAACUGUAGGAGGCUUCACCAAACUGAGUGCAUCUUCCAACAGCUUGAUGACAACUUGCACCACAGUGUAGUGCUUUUGACCCAUGCUGCAUUCCUUAUAUUGAUCCAGUGUUUCAUUUUCUCUCAGUUUCUCUGAUUUGUUUUGAUGCUUGUCUCCUGUGUGCUCUAAGUAACUGUUGAUUGCAGCUGAGUCAGUAAAGGCUUGUCAGUUGUGGUUAAGAGCCAAAGAAUUUUUUGUUUUUAAAGCAUUGGUUAAUUUAGAUGGCUCAGUUUUCAAAAAAUGAGACAAGUACAAAAUCACAGUUACAAGCUUAGAUUUGGUGAAUUUUCCUGAUGGAACCACAUGAUUCGUCCAAAGCAGUCGGAAAGUUUCUGACAAUUCUUAAAAUUUCUGGCCGAAGAAUAGUUUUGAAUUUGGCACUUUAAAAGAAUAACAUGCCUUUCAAAUCCACCAGCACAUUCACAUAUUGUAAAAUAGUGUCAUUAAAGGGACAAUACGCUAAAAUUCACACAUUUUUCCUUGUAAUGAUGUUUAGCCACACAAGAUAGUUUUGUUUUUGUUUUUUUUUUAAAGUAAAUCAACUAAUCCUGAGACGUAACACAUUUAAUUCUGUUUUUGAUCUCUUUGAUUAAAGCGUUGAUUUUCGACUCUUUGACCAUUGAACAGUUUGUAAUGCUGCCAUGGGGUUCUCUGGGUUUCAUUUCACACUGGGUAUGUCUGAGAUGAGUUCUGCACUGUUAUCCAAGACUGGUUACAAGAUUAAGAAAUGACUCCUCUACAUCUUAUUGAAGGAUUAUCUAACUGGCAUAUGGAAGAACAGUUAAGCUCAGUAUCGGUGUGCUUCUCGUCUUCUUGUUUUCAGCGAGUUAACGCCGCUGUCCUUCAGCAGUCAGUCCAGAGGUAAAAGCGAACACUUGGUAAAUCCUGGCGGGGGCAGAGGGAGACGGAUGGCCUCACAGGUGGGACUGUUUGUCACGCUGCUUGUCACUAGGCUGUUGAACAACAAUGGCCACAUGUGAUUGGUGGAGGCCACGGCGAGGGCCAUGUCAAUCAUUUGGUGACAAACAUCCAUCUGGAAUGCACAUUCUGACCCUCCAGUCAGCCCCGACUCAAUAGCAAAUAUUUUAAACAGCCUGCAGAACGAAAAAAUAUGCCUGCUGUCUUUGGAGCUUUAAGGAGCCAGGAGACAUUCCUGGUUGGAAGAUUAGUUUUGUGUGUGCGACUAUGUGUGCGUUUGUGGUUCAGGCACAAGCUCCUUCGCUGCUUUGAAGAUCAAGGUCUCUGGAUUUCAUGUUUUUGUGCAUGCUCCAUUGGAAUUGAUGGCUUCUCCAUAACCGCCGUGACAUGAGACCAUCGCUAAACGCUAACUCAGCUGUUUGUGAUGCUGUUGUGACAAAUCAUCCGUUCUUUGUGUGUGUGGGGUUUUUUUUAUGAGUGAUAAAAACAGGCGCAACAUGGGUAAUAAUAGCAAAAUGUGAUUUUAUUAGACACUUCAAUGCCAUGUUAGACACUUCACUGUUUUAGCUUUGACAUCGGUACAACGGUUUCAGACAGUUUGUUUCAAUAAAUUACUCAGAACGGUGGCUGACUCCCUGUUGUCUCUUUUACACUGGGGUUGCUUUUCCAGCAGGAUCUCUGAUUGGUCUUGCUGGUAUAAACAUCUCUGAUAGGUGCUAUCAGGUGUAACCAGAGGAGCGUGUCCUCCAGCUUACCUUGAUAAGGCCACUGGUUACAGAACACAGUUCAGAUUGAGGGGGAAAAAAACACAUUCAGACAUGAGACAAUGUAACUUCUUUGACUGAUUUCUGACCCAGUGUAUCCAGGGAUUGUGACAGUGUGGGGAGCGUGCCACUGCAUUAAUCCUCCAUGUUUAGUUAGAGCACAUUUCAUAAGCUUCCCGAGUGUUAACAGCAUGAAGCUGUACCUUUAGGUACCUCAAACAUGAAACGAUGAGGUCGAAUACUGGCCAUUUGGAUGCAUAUUACAGCAGUAACACAAUGACAACAUCAUUCUCCCUCUUUCUUAAAUUCAUAGCAUCGGAAUUGUAAGAUUAAGCAUUCAAUCAAUUAAAUGUCAACGCUCUGGGGCACACAUUUGAUUAUGAAUGUGACAGGUGUCACACUGAGAUUAUUACUGGCUUCCAAACAACAGCUGUGAGCAGCAGUUUGACCACAUUCGGUUGCCGACUUGUGCCAAAGUCGCUUUCUGGGACAAAUUAAGAGCCCAAGUUAAAUAAGAGAAGCAUUUAUCUGAACUAGAUCAGAGCAGAUUUGCAGUAAUGUGUAGUAUUGUGAAACUGGUGGAAGAGCCUUAAUGGUACAGUAUGUACUGUUAACUUUGCAUGUCAAAAUAUGUGGAAUGUCUCCUCACACUGAGGAGGUUCCUGCAUUCCUGUUAGCAGAUCAUAUACACAAUCUGCUUGUUCAUGAAGCGACUAUAAAAAGUGCUUUAACUGACCGUCCACAAAUACCCCACCUCGCACCAACUAACGUACCAAAAUAACUUACAUCAAAGCUCUUCCUUCAUACAAUGCAUGUGAAUUGUGUUUCUGUAAGGCCAUAGCUGGCAGCGUUUAUCGGAGAAAAAAAAAAGCAUUCAAGUGCAAUCAAGUGUUUUGUUUGCUAUAAAAAGUGUACCAGUAUCUGUCACAAAAAUGUCUCUUGAUAUAUGCAAUUACAAGUUGAGUUUCUUUGAUCAUGCAAUAAGGCACCACAGCUGAAUGUUGGUAAAAGCUGAAAAAGGCUGUUUUUUU